rnacentral:rRNA from 1 species
GGAUCAAUAUGCUGGUCGUGCCUUUGGUACGUACUGGUAUUAUUGGUUUCUCCUUUCUGAUGAAUCACGAUGUCAUUAAUUUGGUGUGAUUGGAAAUCAGGACUGUUACUUUGAAAAAAUUAGAGUGUUUAAAGCAGGCUAACGUCUGAAUACAUUAGCAUGGAAUAAUGAAAUAGGACGGACUGAUUCUAUUUCGUUGGUUUCUAGGAUCACCGUA